AUUGAACGCUGGCGGCAUGCCUUACACAUGCAAGUCGAACGGUAACAGGUCUUCGGAUGCUGACGAGUGGCGAACGGGUGAGUAAUACAUCGGAACGUGCCUAGUAGUGGGGGAUAACUACUAGAAAGAGUGGCUAAUACCGCAUGAGAUCAACGGAUGAAAGCAGGGGAUCGCAAGACCUUGUGCUACUAGAGCGGCCGAUGGCAGAUUAGGUAGUUGGUGGGAUAAAAGCUUACCAAGCCGACGAUCUGUAGCUGGUCUGAGAGGACGAUCAGCCACACUGGGACUGAGACACGGCCCAGACUCCUACGGGAGGCAGCAGUGGGGAAUUUUGGACAAUGGGCGAAAGCCUGAUCCAGCAAUGCCGCGUGCAGGAUGAAGGCCUUCGGGUUGUAAACUGCUUUUGUACGGAACGAAAAGCCCAGGGUUAAUACCCUGGGGUCAUGACGGUACCGUAAGAAUAAGCACCGGCUAACUACGUGCCAGCAGCCGCGGUAA
rnacentral:rRNA from 1 species